AUUGAACGCUGGCGGCAUGCUUUACACAUGCCAGUCGAACGGCAGCGCGGGCUUCGGCCUGGCGGCGAGUGGCGAACGGGUGAGUAAUGCAUCGGAACGUGCCCAGUAGUGGGGGAUAGCCCGGCGAAAGCCGGAUUAAUACCGCAUACGACCUGAGGGUGAAAGCGGGGGACCGAAAGGCCUCGCGCUAUUGGAGCGGCCGAUGUCGGAUUAGCUAGUUGGUGGGGUAAAGGCUUACCAAGGCGACGAUCCGUAGCUGGUCUGAGAGGACGACCAGCCACACUGGGACUGAGACACGGCCCAGACUCCUACGAGAGGCAGCAGUGGGGAAUUUUGGACAAUGGGGGCAACCCUGAUCCAGCCAUGCCGCGUGCGGGAAGAAGGCCUUCGGGUUGUAAACCGCUUUUGUUCGGGAAGAAAUCCUCUGGGCUAAUACCCCGGGGGGAUGACGGUACCGGAAGAAUAAGCACCGGCUAACUACGUG
rnacentral:rRNA from 1 species